AGUGGCGGACGGGUGAGUAACGCGUGGAUAACCUGCCUCAUACAGGGGGAUAACAGUUGGAAACGGCUGUUAAUACCGCAUAAGCGCACGAAACCGCAUGGUUUUGUGUGAAAAACUCCGGUGGUAUGAGAUGGGUCCGCGUCUGAUUAGCUAGUUGGCAGGGUAACGGCCUACCAAGGCGACGAUCAGUAGCCGGCCUGAGAGGGUGUACGGCCACAUUGGGACUGAGACACGGCCCAAACUCCUACGGGAGGCAGCAG
rnacentral:rRNA from 1 species